UUGAACGUGCUUGCACGGACUUGACGUUGGUUUACCAGCGAGUGGCGGACGGGUGAGUAACACGUAGGUAACCUGCCCCAAAGCGGGGGAUAACAUUUGGAAACAGAUGCUAAUACCGCAUUAUAAUUUGAAUCGCAUGAUUCAAAUUUAAAAGAUGGCUUCGGCUAUCACUUUGGGAUGGACCUGCGGCGCAUUAGCUUGUUGGUAGGGUAACGGCCUACCAAGGCUGUGAUGCGUAGCCGAGUUGAGAGACUGAUCGGCCACAAUGGAACUGAGACACGGUCCAUACUCCUACGGGAGGCAGCAGUAGGGAAUCUUCCACAAUGGGCGCAAGCCUGAUGGAGCAACACCGCGUGAGUGAAGAAGGGUUUCGGCUCGUAAAGCUCUGUUGUUAGAGAAGAACGUGCGUGAGAGCAACUGUUCACGCAGUGACGGUAUCUAACCAGAAAGUCACGGCUAACUACGUGCCAGCAGCCGCGGUAAUACGUAGGUGGCAAGCGUUAUCCGGAUUUAUUGGGCGUAAAGCGAGCGCAGGCGGUUUGAUAAGUCUGAUGUGAAAGCCUUUGGCUUAACCAAAGAAGUGCAUCGGAAACUGUCAGACUUGAGUGCAGAAGAGGACAGUGGAACUCCAUGUGUAGCGGUGGAAUGCGUAGAUAUAUGGAAGAACACCAGUGGCGAAGGCGGCUGUCUGGUCUGCAACUGACGCUGAGGCUC
rnacentral:rRNA from 1 species